CUCUGGCUUAUCGGAGGAAAAGUGAUUGAUGCUGGUGCUUUAUUUAGUUGAAUAACUACAGCUGAAGCUUUGUGACACGGGUCAAGAGUUGUGACAUAUGGGCUUGGUUAGCAUGGUGACACAAAUAUUUGCGAGCCAUGACUGCAAGCAAACUCUUCGACUGACUGUGUGUGCCCGUGUGCAUGGGUGUGUGUACGUUUGCGUAUCUUUUUGUGCGUUCAUGUUUGGAUGUGCUUGUGUGUCUAUAUUGGGGAUGGGUGAAUACCGAUAUCAGGUAUCAGUAUUGGGUUGACACUGGGCUUAUUUUGGCAACCAUGACAUCUAUCCAUCCAUCCAGCCAUUUUCCAAUCCGCUUUUCCUCACGAGGGUCGCGGGCGCGCUGGAGCCUAUCGCAGCUGUCUAUGGGCAGUAGGCGGAGUACACCCUGAACUGCUUUCCAGUCCAAUCCCAGGGCAGACUUAGACGAGCAAGCGUUUGCGCUCACAAUCAGACCUCGGCACAGUUGCAGAGUUUUCCAUUAACCUGCCAUGCAUCUUUUGGGAAUGUGGGGGGAAACUGGAGUACCCGGAGAAAAAACACACAGUCACAGGGAGAACAUACAAACUCUCACACAGGAAUCGAACAAUGCACCUCUGUACUGUGAGGCGGACCUGCUCACCAGUGGACUACCGUGCUGCCCGCCACCAAGACAAAAGAUGGGGGGAGAAAAAAUAAAACCAUCAAGUUUUGCGAUCGAGGCUAUGAAAUGAGACCCAAGAAAUCCCGCAGUGCGUCGUCAGUAUCCUUCAACACAACGCAGUCGGACACCACCGUAGGAUGUGUCAGGGGAGAAAUCCAGGACUUGGCCUUUAAUCUUUGUUCCCGAGCGCGACAGCUGACUGCCACCGAUGCCGUUACAUUUCUGCCAGAAGAUGAGCCGCUUGGGGUCAGACCACUUUGAGAUCCCUCCCUGCUCCAACACACCUGAUUCAAACGAUCAACGUCAUCACAAAGUUAGAUCCAUAACCCUGCUGGAGAGGGCGAUCAAACCAACAGCUGGCGGAACCAAAAUCUCAUAGGAAGUGCUCCGACAUUCAUCUGCGCACCCUCUGGAAAAAGCAUGGCAUGAGAAGUUUGCAAGUAGAUCAGCUAGCCCUCCCAACUACUUCUGAAAAACAAGGCGUUACCACAACUCUUGAGGAAACAGAAGAAGCAACUGCUUGUCUCGAGCGACCCUGCACGUAUAUACAGCUCCAACCUCGGGCCAUUCCUUCCCCUAAUGGAUGUGGAGAGAAUUGGGCCAAGGACCACCCAGGCUCAACACGAGUCCAGCAGGAGGCAAAUUCAUGCUUGCUUUGUCGUAUCCAUGGCGACAGCAUACAAAUGCACAAAGAAAGAACCUGAAUGCUACAGAUGGAUUGAAUACAGUCAACAGAAUGAUUGAAAAGGAUAUGAGCGCCGUGACGACGCCGGUGGCCACGCCGAGAGCGAAGGAGCCGCUGAAGAUGCCGAGGAACAUGCCGAAGGACUUGAACAUGGCCACGACCUCGAACGUGUGGCUGUUGUCACCCUGCGGCUGAAACCGGAAUGAGAAGACGAACGCAGGUGAACUCACGAGGAGAGGACGAUGGCCACGGCGUCAUUGAGCACGCUCUCGCCGAACAGCAGCGCGUACAAGUCGACGUCCACCUGAAGCUCGUUGAAGAUGGCCAGAACGGUCACUAUGGCAACGGAAGACACAAAUCUAUUUAGAAGCAUCAGAUGGGUAUUUAUAAAGGCUUCUAUUUGGAGACAAUGUCGUUUGAAAAGAAGCCAAAAUGGAGACGCACCGGGGUCGGUGGCGGACACGAUGGCGCCGAAGAACAGACAGUCCGUGAAGAAGAAUUCGCCACCGAGUUGUCCCAUAUGCGUCAUUAGCAUCACACAGCCAUACAUCAACAACCUGGCAAAACCAAAAAACAUGCUGAUUAUAAAUCCCAACAGAUAUGUACAGGCAUGACAAGUGACAAUCUUACCCGAUGACGAAACAGGAAACAACUGUCCCCAUAAAGGCGUAGGCCAGGAUGGAGCCCAUAUUCCGGAAAAAGUGUCUCUGCAAACAAGACAGACACACUGUCAAAUGUGACUCUCCUUCAGCCCGAGUGCAAGUUGAUGAUGUCAUCAAGAGGAGACCCAAAAAUGAUUUGUUCACCCGCUUCAGGCUGUAACCGGCGUGGAAGAUAAUGGGCGGCAGGAGGAUGUUAAAGAAGACUUCAGGGUCAAACGUCACCUGAGUUACACACAUGCAAGACAAAAGAACAAUUUGGAGAUGUGGUUCAGCAUAUGUCCUGAAUGAGCUAAACAGUUUGAAGGUUCAAUGACUUGAAUCAGUCAUGAAAUGUGGAAGUACAAAGUUGGCUUCGCCCACACGUAAAAUAUUUCUUAAUUUAGUGAUUUUACUGUGAAACUAUCGGCCCUUUUUCCCACCUUGCGCAGCAUCUCGUUGUCCUGCACGUCGUCCACCUCGCUGGCGCUGAUCUCACCCUUCAGCGUGUACUCGUAGAACUUUCCCUUGGAGUGGACGAGCAGCGUGGCGGGGCUAGCAUUGACGUGGCAGCUCAAUGUCACGUUGCUGACGUCGUGCGAGACGUGGAUGCCGUAGCGCAGCACCACCCCCACCAGUAAACCUGGGCACCAGACAAGAAAAGGCACCAUUUGUUUUGAUUUGCAAAUAAAAUGUAAUUCAUUUAAUGUA